UCUUUGUUAGUAUAUCGGUUAGUACACGCGCUUGUCACGUCAUUUGAGACGCCGAUCGCGCGAAAGCUGGGUUCGACUCCCAGACAGAGAG